rnacentral:tRNA from 1 species
GGCUACGUAGCUCAGUUGGUUAGAGCAUCGCACUCAUAAUGCGGGGGUCGGUGGUUCAAGUCCACCUGUAGCCACCA